rnacentral:rRNA from 1 species
UUGAACGCUGGCGGCAUGCCUUACACAUGCAAGUCGAACGGCAGCACGGGUGCUUGCACCUGGUGGCGAGUGGCGAACGGGUGAGUAAUACAUCGGAACAUGUCCUGUAGUGGGGGAUAGCCCGGCGAAAGCCGGAUUAAUACCGCAUACGAUCUACGGAUGAAAGCGGGGGACCUUCGGGCCUCGCGCUAUAGGGUUGGCCGAUGGCUGAUUAGCUAGUUGGUGGGGUAAAGGCCUACCAAGGCGACGAUCAGUAGCUGGUCUGAGAGGACGACCAGCCACACGGGGACGGGAACGCCCCCCAGACCCCGGGGGGGGGCAGAGUGGGGAAUUUUGGAAAAAGGGGAGAAACCCAGCCCCAGCAAGCCCGGGGGGGAAAAGAGGGCCUGGGGGUUAAAACGCUUUUUGGCCGGAAAAGAACCCCUGGCCCCAAACCGGGGGGGGGGAGGGGGGACCGAAAAAAAAACCCCCGGGCAAACUCCGGC